ACUCAAAUGAAUUGACGGGGGCCCGCACAAGCAGCGGAGCGUGUGGUUUAAUUCGAUGCAACGCGAAGAACCUCACCUAGGCUUGACAUGCUGGAAGUAGAACCCCGAAAGGGGAACGACUCGUAAAGUCGAGAACCAGCACAGAUGCUGCAUGGCUGUCGUCAGCUCGUGCCGUGAGGUGUUGGGUUAAGUCCCGCAACGAGCGCAACCCUCGCCGUUAGUUACCAUGUCUAGCGGGACCGCCGGUUUCAAACCGGAGGAAGGUGGGGAUGACGUCAAGUCAGCACGGCUCUUACGCCUAGGGCUACACACACGCUACAAUGGCCGGUACAACGGGAUGCCAAGGGGCGACCCGGAGCCAAUCCUAUCAAAGCCGGUCUCAGUUGGGAUUGCAGGCUGCAACUCGCCUGCAUGAACGCGGAGUUGCUAGUAACCGCAGGUCAGCACACUGCGGUGAAUACGUUCCCGGGCCUUGUACACACCGCCCGU
rnacentral:rRNA from 1 species